UACAGAGGUCCCAAGCGUUGUUCGGAUUCACUGGGCGUAAAGGGUGCGUAGGUGGCUACUUUAAGUUUGAUGUGAAAGCUCCGGGCUCAACCCGGAAAUGGCAUUGAAGACUAUUGAGCUAGAGGUUUGGAGGGGGGACUGGAAUGCUUGGUGUAGCAGUGAAAUGCGUAGAUAUCAAGCGGAACACCGGUGGCGAAGGCGAGUCCCUGGACAACACCUGACACUGAGGCACGAAAGCUAGGGGAGCAAACAGG
rnacentral:rRNA from 1 species